GCCGGGCACAGUGAUGCACCCCUGUAAUCCCAGUGGCUGGGGAGGCUGAGGCAGGAGGAUCACGAGUUCAAAGCCAGCCUCAGCAACUUAGCAAGGUCCUUAGCAACUCAGUGAGACCCUGUCUCUA
rnacentral:sRNA from 1 species